GACGAACGCUGGCGGCGUGCUUAACACAUGCAAGUCGAACGGUAAGGCCCUGCUUUUGUGGGGUGCUCGAGUGGCGAACGGGUGAGUAACACGUGAGUAACCUGCCCUUGACUUUGGGAUAACUUCAGGAAACUGGGGCUAAUACCGGAUAGGAGCCCCUGCUGCAUGGUGGGGGUUGGAAAGUUUCGGCGGUUGGGGAUGGACUCGCGGCUUAUCAGCUUGUUGGUGGGGUAGUGGCUUACCAAGGCUUUGACGGGUAGCCGGCCUGAGAGGGUGACCGGCCACAUUGGGACUGAGAUACGGCCCAGACUCCUACGGGAGGCAGCAGUGGGGAAUAUUGCACAAUGGGCGGAAGCCUGAUGCAGCAACGCCGCGUGCGGGAUGACGGCCUUCGGGUUGUAAACCGCUUUCGCCUGUGACGAAGCGUGAGUGACGGUAAUGGGUAAAGAAGCACCGGCUAACUACGUG
rnacentral:rRNA from 1 species